CAAGACGAAGAAUUGGAAGACAAGGAAGAGGGAAAUUCGUUGGACAAGUCGAAUUUCAUGCAUCCCGAAAAGUCCCGUAUAAUUCUGGCAGAGUACACUAUUUGGCUUAUUACUUUCUCAUCUGAAGUCCAAUUAAGGUGAUUCGAAUUGCUACAGAAAGCCAACUUAAAAAUCUAAAACUUUGCUGUUUUGAUCCGAGAGAGAUUCGGAGUGGAAGAGGUCAGAAAUCGAGCUUGAAGUGAAGACACGUGCACAGCCAAAUGUCUACUCGAGUUAUGAAGAAUGUUCGUGUCGUCGACUUGAUAUUUGGAGUUUAGAUUUUAUUAAAUUACGUUUUUUAUAUUAGGUUUAAUAUAUUUAUAUUAUUUAAGAGUUAGU
rnacentral:lncRNA from 1 species